UGGGGAAUAUUGGACAAUGGGCGCAAGCCUGAUCCAGCCAUGCCGCGUGAGUGAUGAAGGCCUUAGGGUUGUAAAGCUCUUUCGGCGGGGACGAUGAUGACGGUACCCGCAGAAGAAGCCCCGGCUAACUCCGUGCCAGCAGCCGCGGUAAUACGGAGGGGGCUAGCGUUGCUCGGAAUUACUGGGCGUAAAGGGCGCGUAGGCGGCCUUGCAAGUCAGGCGUGAAAGCCCCGGGCUCAACCCGGGAAAUGCGCUUGGGACUGCGGGGCUCGAGGUCGGGAGAGGGUAGUGGAAUUCCCAGUGUAGAGGUGAAAUUCGUAGAUAUUGGGAAGAACACCAGUGGCGAAGGCGGCUACCUGGACCGAAUCUGAAACGCUAAGGCGCGAAAGCGUGGGGAGCAAACAGGAUUAGAUACCCUGGUAGUCCACGCCGUAAACGAUGCGUGCUAGACGUCGGGUGGUUCGCCAUUCGAUGUCGCAGGUAACGCGUUAAGCACGCCGCCUGGGGAGUAC
rnacentral:rRNA from 1 species